GUGGGGUAAUGGCCUACCAAGGCUUCGACGGGUAGCCGGCCUGAGAGGGUGACCGGCCACACUGGGACUGAGACACGGCCCAGACUCCUACGGGAGGCAGCAGUGGGGAAUAUUGGACAAUGGGCGGAAGCCUGAUCCAGCAACGCCGCGUGAGGGAUGACGGCCUUCGGGUUGUAAACCUCUUUCAGUAGGGACGAAGCGCAAGUGACGGUACCUACAGAAGAAGCACCGGCCAACUACGUGCCAGCAGCCGCGGUAAUACGUAGGGUGCGAGCGUUGUCCGGAAUUAUUGGGCGUAAAGGGCUCGUAGGCGGUUUGUCGCGUCGGGAGUGAAAACACUGGGCUUAACUCAGUGCUUGCUUCCGAUACGGGCAGACUAGAGGUAUUCAGGGGAGAACGGAAUUCCUGGUGUAGCGGUGAAAUGCGCAGAUAUCAGGAGGAACACCGGUGGCGAAGGCGGUUCUCUGGGAAUUACCUGACGCUGAGGAGCGAAAGUGUGGGGAGCGAACAGGAUUAGAUACCCUGGUAGUCCACACCGUAAACGUUGGGCGCUAGGUGUGGGGUCCAUUCCACGGAUUCCGUGCCGCAGCUAACGCAUUAAGCG
rnacentral:rRNA from 1 species